GGUGGUUCUUGGGUGACACACCCCAGAAUCAGGCUUCCUCCUCUCUGGUUCCAGGUGCGCUACCUGAGAUCCACA
rfam:Myotis brandtii contig303914, whole genome shotgun sequence.